rnacentral:rRNA from 1 species
AUUGAACGCUGGCGGCAGGCCUAACACAUGCAAGUCGAGCGAGCGGCGGAGGGGUGAGUAAUGUCUGGGAAACUGCCUGAUGGAGGGGGAUAACUACUGGAAACGGUAGCUAAUACCGCAUACCAUCAGAUGUGCCCCGAUGGGAUUAGCUAGUAGGUGGGGUAACGGCUCACCUAGGCGACGAUCCCUAGCUGGUCUGAGAGGAUGACCAGCCACACUGGAACGGAGACACGGCCCUGACCCCGACGGGAGGAAGCAGUGGGGAAUAGUGCAAAAGGGGAGCAAGCCUGAUGCAGCCAGGCCGCGUGUGUGAAGAAGGCCUUCGGGUUGUAAAGCACUUUCAGCGGGGAGGCGUUACCCGCAGAAGAAGCACCGGCUAACUCCGUGCCAGCAGCCGCGGUAAUAC